rnacentral:rRNA from 1 species
AUUGAACGCUGGCGGAAUGCUUUACACAUGCAAGUCGAACGGCAGCACGGACUUCGGUCUGGUGGCGAGUGGCGAACGGGUGAGUAACAUAUCGGAACGUAUCCAAUAAUGGGGGAUAACGAGUCGAAAGAUUCGCUAAUACCGCAUACGCCCUACGGGGGAAAGCUGGGGGCCUUCGGGCCUGGCGUUAAUGGAGCGGCCGAUAUCUGAUUAGCUAGUUGGUGAGGUAAAGGCUCACCACGGCGACGAUCAGUAGCUGGUCUGAGAGGACGACCAGCCACACUGGAACUGAGACACGGUGCACACUCCUACCGGAGUCAGCAGUGGGGAAUAUUGGGCAAUGGGGGCAAGCCUGAUCCAGCCAUUCCGCGUGAGUGAAGAAGGCCUUCGGGUUGUAAAGCUCUUUCGCAAGGGAAGAAAACUUAGCCACUAACAUUGGUUGAGGUUGACGGUACCUUGAUAAGAAGCACCGGCUAACUACGUUCCAGCCGCCGCGGUAA